rnacentral:lncRNA from 10 species
AACCGCCAGGAAAGAGAAUCAAAAGAAAGUGAGCCCGAGACUUUUCUGCCUUGGCCUCUGGCCUCGUCCACCAAGAACCUGCCAGAGUUCCUUCCAGAGGCCCACCAACAGGUGCUCAGCAGAAUCUGCACUGAGGAGCAUUGGAAAGAUCUGACCUACCUGCCAACAUCCUACCAGAACCUGAAAGUCACCAAUUGGGAUUUAUGUCUUCGGAUCCUGAAGUUUUAACCACUGACAAUGUUGAAUUUUACCUAAGCCCUGUGCUUCUGGAAAACAGGGAAGGUCAAGACAUCCCCUACUGUUUUAAUCAAUUCAGGCUGCUAUAGCAAAAAUACCAGAGACUGGGUGGCUUAAACAACAAACAUUUAUUUCUCACAGUUCUGGAGGCUGGAGGUCUGAGAUCAGGGUGCCAGCAUGGCUGGGUUCUGGUGAGGGACCUCUUCCUGAUUACAUCUUCACACGGCCUUUCCCUGGCGUGUGCACAUAGGAAAAGAGACCCCCAUGUCUUCUUCUCUUUUUAAAAGAGCACUAAUCCCGUCAUGGGGGCUCUAACCCGGUCCUACCUCCAAAUACCAUUACUUUGGGGAUUAAUAUUUCAACAUAUGAAUGAGGGAGAGGGCACAAACAUCCUUUUGUGUUGUGGAAAAUGGUUUAGCACAAAAAACCACCCUUCCCCAUAUGACUGAGAAAAGACUCACAGAUGCAUCCUUGCUUAUCUAUGGCAAGGCUAGACACCUUCCAAAUUCCCAUUUUUUGCUUCAUAAAUGAUUAGCUGAACUGUUUCAUCCUCACUGAUCAAUAGGACAAAAUAAGAAGUUAACCAAACUUGGCUGGACGUGGUGGCUCCCACCUGUAAUCCCAGCACUUUGGGAGGAUGAGGCGGAUGGAUUACUUGAGGUCAGGAGUUCGAGACCAGCCUGGCCAACUUUAGUAGAAAGUGAAACCCCUUUCUACUAAAAAUACAAAAAUUAGCCGGGCGUGGUGGUGCACACCCGUAGUCCCAGCUACUCGGGAGGCUAAGGCAGGAGAAUUGCUUGAACCCAGGGGGUGGAGGCUGCGGUGAGCCGAGAUCACACCACCGCACUCCAGCCUGGGUGACAGAGCAAGACUAUCUCAAAAAAAAAAGUAAAAGAAAUUAACUUGGUUAAACUUCUCUCCUUCCCACAAGCCUCUGAACUUUGACCCACUCUCAGCCUCAACCAGCAGACAGCCCCUCCAGAGAACAGGCUGACCUCAGGGUAAAAUGUUCUCUGAUGUACUAUCUGGUCAUGUCACUCUUUCAUCCCACUUCCCCACACCACAAUUCUUUCUAGCCUUGUUUAUUCCUCUUUAUAAAAGAAAACUCUUAUUCGCCUAACUCCUGAGACAAUCGCAAAUCUUAUGGUCAGUAAUUCUCCCUGUUGCAACAGUCCCUCCCCAUUCUCAUUUCUCACCCCCACAGACACACCCCACCAACAGUAAUCCUUUUGAAUAAAGGCUGUCCUUGCUAAGUCUGGAUUUAUUUUGACACCAUCUUUAAGAGUUUCCUCUAAGAAUAUAAGUGACCCUAUGAGAGGGCACUGUAAGUCUCAGUUAACGUUUUGUUGAAGAUUAAUUUAUCCCUGUUUGACUAAAGGGGAGGAAGGCAGACAAGAAUACUAUGAGAACCUACCAGACACUAGACAUAGCCCUGGAUAUUACACAUACUUGAUUUCAUGUAAUUCUUGAGGUUCAAAGAUACAAAAUGAUUUCCCAAAGACCCUACAGAGGCCAGACUGAAACCUAGGUCAUUAACUUGGAAUCAUAGGUUCAACACAGACAAUAGCUCCCCACAAAAUUUUAAAGAUCCCAGAGUCCAGCUCCUGCCUGGUCAGGUUGGGGAAACUAGGGUCAACCA